GGCAAAGAGACAUUUCAAAUACCAAACAAAAAAAACGAGACAUUUUAAAUAUCCAAAAGAAAAGGAUGAGAUCUCUAUUUAUGUGUGUCUCACUGUGUGUCUUCGUUCUUGGACAAAACUGCUAAAGGCUAAUUGGUCAAUGAGCUCUAUUUAAUUGGCCUAAAGAGAAGAAUUGGAGACAUUUGGGUUCUGAACAGCCUCACCAAGGUCCAAAAAAGACUAUCUCCAGACAUACACAAAAAUCUCAGAGUAUAUUGGGGAGCCCAAACUCAUACAGAUGAGGAAACUAACAAUAGUCCUCAGAUGCAUGCAAAAAACCCUCCAAAAACUAAUGAAGAAAGAAGUUGCAAGAUCAACAUAUCUUCUGCUACAAAAACAAAAAGGGGGAUAUGCAGGGGUUAACAGUCAGCCACCUGUUGCUCUGGCUAAGCCAUGAGAAAAUCACCAUGGGAAAAGAAUAAAAGCAAAAUAUAGCAAUACAGCAUAACCCAGAUAAAAGUACAUCAGGUUGAUCAGCUGGGGUUGUCAUGCCCUGCUAAGCUAAGGAAAAACAUAGUGUGGACCUUGGAACGGCAGGUCUGCGCAAGUUCAGAGCGCUGCUUGUGCACACACCAGGAUGUUUUCCCAAGGCAUAUGCGAGUCUAUGACCUCCAGCUAGGCGAUAGCCCUUGUACAAGAAAACAACAGAUAGUUUAAAGUAAUCAAUAAAAUGGGACAGGUGUCCAGGGACACAGGAGGCUGACUUCAUGGUAGCACAACAGAACCUUGCUACUUGCCAAGACACUAGAUAAAAGUGAUGUGGCUCUGAGGAACAGGGCUCUUGACCCAAGGAGUCUUGAGUCCCCCGGUCCCAUCUUUAAACUUUAAUUUUGCCUCUAGUUUCUUUUUCCCAAACUGUGUGUCAACCACUUUCGAUCCCU
ensembl:lncRNA